CGCCCGGCCACCCCUACCCUUGCCUUGUCCCGCCCCCGCGGCGCAGACUGGGAAUAAAAGCGCUGGGAGUGGUCCUUGUCCAGCUCCCCACCCUUCCUUACCUCUUGUAAACCAACCGGCCUGGGUUAACCUCUGCUCCUGUUCCUCGCCCAACCUUCAAGCUGUGGCAAUAAAAGAGGAAUGAAAAUUUCGAAAGCGCCUAGCAAAUUGCAAAGCCCGGGCUAUCGCUAAGUUUCUUGUAAUUACGUCCAGGUGAAGACGAAAAGAAGUGAAAGGACUCUCCAAAGGACAGCCUCGGGCGUGCUCAAAAAGAGAUCUGCUGUGUGUGAGAUGCAGUAUUCCAUCAAUCAACGUCUUGUGACUUGUUAUUUAAGCUUGAUCGAUGAAAUGAUGAUUAAGAAGGAAAUUCGCCUUGCCUUGUUUUUAGAGGACAAGAGCAAUGCUAUAUGUGGACAGAAAGUGGAGAAGGUCAGCGGGUUUUGCAGAGUCACAGAAGAGAGAUUAUCACAGGAAACCAACAAUGGA